rnacentral:rRNA from 4 species
CCUGGCGGCUUUAGCGCGGUGGUCCCACCUGACCCCAUGCCGAACUCAGAAGUGAAACGCCGUAGCGCCGAUGGUAGUGUGG